UACGUAGGAGGCAAGCGUUGUUCGGAAUCAUUGGGCUUAAAGAGCGUGUAGGCGGAGUGGCAAGUGUCGGGUGAAAGCCCUCGGCUCAACCGGGGAAUGGCCCGGCAAACUGCUGCUCUUGAGGCAGGUAGAGGUGAGUGGAACGACUGGUGGAGCGGUGAAAUGCGUAGAUAUCAGUUGGAACGCCGGUGGCGAAAGCGGCUCGCUGGACCUGUCCUGACGCUGAGACGCGAAAGCGUGGGUAGCGAACAGGAUUAGAUACCCCCGUA
rnacentral:rRNA from 1 species